ACCACAUGUGUUGACUAUAAUCUACACAACUGCACCUGGGAAAAGAGGGAUUGUGCAAAUGACUUGUCCAGCCAGGGCUGUAGCACCAACAGCCCAUACUAUUAGGACUACUGCAACUGCUAGGGAACCUACAAAACCAACUCUCCCUCCCCCUGCUGUCUGCAAAGCCUCCAGCAUGACUGUAGAACUGCCUUCUGGGUCGCUUCAAGUUCUAUUAUUGACUCCGUCCAACAAAUGGGAAGAUAUUAAUGAUGCUACCAGUUACUACAGCUUGGUGCAGCGGGAAGGGCGGAACUACUUUACAACCCCCUACAGGGCUUUUGCUGUCCACAUACAGGAUGGAAAUUACGUCUUAACCUUACUCUACACAACCACUGCUGGUAAACGAGGGUAUGUGCACAUGAGAUGUCCCACAAAGGCCCCUACUUCCACUAGUAGGAAGCCAAGAAAGACUACUAGAACCAAUGCUGUGGAUUCAACCAGGAGAGCUAGAAGAAGUGCAAAAGAUGCAACCAGGACAACCCGCAGAGGCUCUGGGGAAUGGACCAAUAGCACCCACAGAGGCUCUGGGGAAGGGACCAGGACAACGCAUAGAGGCUCUGGGGAAUGGACCAGGACUACUCGCAGAGGCUCUGGGGAAGAGACCAGGACAACGCGCAGAGGAUCUGGGGAAUGGAC